rnacentral:rRNA from 3 species
AAGGUUGGCUAAUCCUGGUCGGACAUCAGGAGGUUAGUGCAAUGGCAUAAGCCAGCUUGACUGCGAGCGUGACGGCGCGAGCAGGUGCGAAAGCAGGUCAUAGUGAUCCGGUGGUUCUGAAUGGAAGGGCCAUCGCUCAACGGAUAAAAGGUACUCCGGGGAUAACAGGCUGAUACCGCCCAAGAGUUCAUAUCGACGGCGGUGUUUGGCACCUCGAUGUCGGCUCAUCACAUCCUGGGGCUGAAGUAGGUCCCAAGGGUAUGGCUGUUCGCCAUUUAAAGUGGUACGCGAGCUGGGUUUAGAACGUCGUGAGACAGUUCGGUCCCUAUCUGUCGUGGGCGCUGGAGAACUGAGGGGGGCUGCUCCUAGUACGAGAGGACCGGAGUGGACGCAUCACUGGUGUUCGGGUUGUCAUGCCAAUGGCACUGCCCGGUAGCUAAAUGCGGAAGAGAUAAGUGCUGAAAGCAUCUAAGCACGAAACUUGCCCCGAGAUGAGUUCUCCCUGAGACUUAGAGUCUCCUGAAGGAACGUUGAAGACGACGACGUUGAUAGGCCGGGUGUGUAAGCGCAGCGAUGCGUUGAGCUAACCGGUACUAAUGAACCGUGAGGCUUAACCUUACAACGCCGAAG